AACGAACGCUGGCGGCAUGCCUAACACAUGCAAGUCGAACGAGACCUUCGGGUCUAGUUGCGCACGGGUGCGUAACGCGUGGGAACCUGCCCUUAGGUUCGGAAUAACUCCCCGAAAGGGGUGCUAAUACCGGAUAAUGUCUUCGGACCAAAGAUUUAUCGCCUUUGGAUGGGCCCGCGUUGGAUUAGCUAGUUGGUAGGGUAAAAGCCUACCAAGGCGACGAUCCUUAGCUGGUCUGAGAGGAUGAUCAGCCACACUGGGACUGAGACACGGCCCAGACUCCUACGGGAGGCAGCAGUGGGGAAUAUUGGACAAUGGGCGAAAGCCUGAUGCAGCAAUGCCGCGUGAGUGAUGAAGGCCUUAGGGUUGUAAAGCUCUUUUACCCGGGAUGAUAAUGACAGUACCGGGAGAAUAAGCUCCGGCUAACUCCGUG
rnacentral:rRNA from 1 species